rnacentral:rRNA from 1 species
AGAGUUUGAUCAUGGCUCAGGACGAACGCUGGCGGCGUGCUUAACACAUGCAAGUCGAGCGGAAAGGCCUCUUCGGGGGUACUCGAGCGGCGAACGGGUGAGUAACACGUGAGUAACCUGCCCUUCACUUUGGGAUAACCCUCGGAAACGGGGGCUAAUACCGGAUAUGACCUGUCACUGCAUGGUGUGCGGGUGGAAAGAUUUUUUGGUGGGGGAUGGGCUCGCGGCCUAUCAGCUUGUUGGUGGGGUGAUGGCCUACCAAGGCGACGACGGGUAGCCGGCCUGAGAGGGCGACCGGCCACACUGGGACUGAGACACGGCCCAGACUCCUACGGGAGGCAGCAGUAGGGAAUCUUGCGCAAUGGGCGAAAGCCUGACGCAGCGACGCCGCGUGAGGGAUGAAGGCCUUCGGGUUGUAAACCUCUUUCAGCAGGGACGAAGCCUCACGGUGACGGUACCUGCAGAAGAAGCCCCGGCCAACUACGUGCCAGCAGCGGCGGUAAUUC